AUCAGCAUAGUCUUGUAUAUGCAUCGAAGGUGUACCUCCAUAACUGAGUUCAUGACCCAUGCCAGAGUAGUUGGGUUGUGUUUGACUUGUUGGCGGGCGACCGAGACGAUUGAAGGGAGACAUUGGUGUGAAUGAUGCGUCGAGGAAAGGUUGGAAAGGUUGUUGUGGUGUUUGGUAGACAUUGGAUUGUUGAAGGUUUCAGUUUUGAGAUGCUUGGGCUUUUUGGCUAUGGUAUGAGGAGGGACAGUUG
rnacentral:lncRNA from 1 species